rnacentral:rRNA from 1 species
AAGUGCAGUAAUGUAUUGAGCUAACUUGUACUAAUUACCCGUGAGGCUUAACCAUACAACACCUAAGUAGU